GGUCUGUGAUGUACUGUAAAAGGUCUGAUGCCUGAGUUUCCCCCCAGAUUCCUCCCAACUCCCAGGAGUCCCUGCUCUGUUCCCCAGCAUGCUCUAGGUGUGUGAUGUUGGGUUCAGGGGCUUCUGACAGAUGGGAUGACCUCAUCUUGUGUCUCCUUGAGAAUAUGGGGUCACAAUGAUGAUGGACGUCCAACAUAGCCAAUUGCCAAGGAGUAUUUGGGUCUGGGGCUGGAACAGGCGAAUGAUCUCAAGUUUUCAAGCUGAGACC